UACGUAGGGUGCAAGCGUUAAUCGGAAUUACUGGGGCGUAAAGCGUGCGCAGGCGGUUGUGCAAGACCGAUGUGAAAUCCCCGGGCUUAACCUGGGAAUGGCAUUGGUGACUGCACGGCUAGAGUGUGUCAGAGGGGGGUAGAAUUCCACGUGUAGCAGUGAAAUGCGUAGAGAUGUGGAGGAAUACCGAUGGCGAAGGCAGCCCCCUGGGAUAACACUGACGCUCAUGCACCGAAAGCG
rnacentral:rRNA from 1 species